rnacentral:rRNA from 1 species
UACGUAGGGCGCAAGCGUUGUCCGGAAUUAUUGGGCGUAAAGAGCUCGUAGGCGGCUUGUUACGUCGGGUGUGAAAGCCCGGGGCUUAACCCCGGGUCUGCAUUCGAUACGGGCAGGCUAGAGUGUGGUAGGGGAGAUCGGAAUUCCUGGUGUAGCGGUGAAAUGCGCAGAUAUCAGGAGGAACACCGGUGGCGAAGGCGGAUCUCUGGGCCAUUACUGACGCUGAGGAGCGAAAGCGUGGGGAGCGAACAGG